rfam:Clostridium homopropionicum DSM 5847 CLHOM_contig000009, whole genome shotgun sequence.
AGUAAGACCCCUGAAAGACCAUCAGGUUGAUAGGUUAGAGGUGUAAGUGCAGUAAUGUACUCAGCUGACUAAUACUAAUAGGUCGAGGACUUGAUCAA